rnacentral:rRNA from 1 species
CACGAACGCUGGCGGCAGGCUUAACACAUGCAAGUCGAGCGCCCCGCAAGGGGAGCGGCAGACGGGUGAGUAACGCGUGGGAAUCUACCCAUCUCUACGGGAUAACGCAUGGAAACGUGUGCUAAUACCGUAUACGUCCUUCGGGAGAAAGAUUUAUCGGAGAUGGAUGAGCCCGCGUUGGAUCAGCUAGUUGGUGGGGUAAAGGCCUACCAAGGCGACGAUCCAUAGCUGGUCUGAGAGGAUGAUCAGCCACACUGGGACUGAGACACGGCCCAGACUCCUACGGGAGGCAGCAGUGGGGAAUAUUGGACAAUGGGCGCAAGCCUGAUCCAGCCAUGCCGCGUGAGUGAUGAAGGCCCUAGGGUUGUAAAGCUCUUUCACCGGUGAAGAUAAUGACGGUAACCGGAGAAGAAGCCCCGGCUAACUUCGUGCCAGCCGCCGCAGUAAAAC